rnacentral:rRNA from 1 species
AGCGAACGCUGGCGGCAGGCUUAACACAUGCAAGUCGAGCGGGCCCUUCGGGGUCAGCGGCGGACGGGUGAGUAACGCGUGGGAACGUGCCUUCUGGUUCGGAAUAACUCAGGGAAACUUGAGCUAAUACCGGAUACGCCCUUUUGGGGAAAGGUUUACUGCCGGAAGAUCGGCCCGCGUCUGAUUAGCUAGUUGGUGGGGUAACGGCCUACCAAGGCGACGAUUAGUAGCUGGUCUGAGAGGAUGAUCAGCCACACUGGGACUGAGACACGGCCCAGACUCCUACGGGAGGCAGCAGUGGGGAAUAUUGGACAAUGGGCGCAAGCCUGAUCCAGCCAUGCCGCGUGAGUGAUGAAGGCCUUAGGGUUGUAAAGCUCUUUUAUCCGGGACGAUAAUGACGGUACCGGAGGAAUAAGCCCCGGCUAACUUCGUG